CCGAGUUAUACAACUCCCAAACCCACUGUGAACCUUACCAAAUCGUUGCUUCGGCGGGACUGCCCCGGGCCCUCGCGGCCCGGACCCAGGCGCCCGCCGGAGGCCAAAAACUCUCCUGUUUUCUCUUAGCGGAAUUUAUCUGAGUGGCCCUCAGGGGCAAGCAAAUGAAUCA
rnacentral:misc_RNA from 1 species